UCUCCUCCUCCUUGCUGCCCAACAGUUUUCCCACUGCACCUGGAUUCGGGGGGGAGGAGGCUUUUGUUUGUGCUCUUUGUUUGGGAGUGUGUUCGCUCUUGGGACUGAGAGGGACCAGACAUCAAUCCAGGUUCUCCACAUCUUUUUAAACAAGUCUCUCCUAUUUCAAACUUAACGCCAGCACUCUGCGGACAUCUAGUGUGUGAAGGGACGCCUCCCUGUUGUUGGCGUGCGGCUUGGGGAAGAAUACAGGGACCAUCAGCCCUGGAUGAUGAUGUCGGCCAAGUGUGCCCUCCAUUCCUACCAGAGAGGCGUCUAUGGUAAUAGUGACUGAUGGGGUUUCCCUUUCGAAGCCGGAGAGAUGGAGCGAUGAAUCCCUCUGCAUGACAACGGACGUGGCGAUGGAGCGAUCCACCGUGUCAGCAGAAUCCAGAGAAGCCUGCAAAACAGUUCUGGUGAUGAGGAAACCUUCUGCUAUAUCAGCUUUAUAUUGCUUUUUUUUGUCAGCUGUGAUGUGCUCAA